GACGAACGCUGGCGGCGCGCUUAACACAUGCAAGUCGAGCGAGAACCAGUCCUUCGGGACUGGGGAAAGCGGCGAACGGGUGAGUAACACGUGGGUAAUCUGCCCUCGGCACUGGGAUAGCCCGGGGAAACCCGGAUUAAUACCGGAUAGCCUUUCGAGCCUUCGGGCUCGUCAGAAAAGGUGGCUUCGGCUUCCGGCUGAGGAUGAGCCCGCGGCGGAUUAGCUUGUUGGUGGGGUAAUGGCCUACCAAGGCGACGAUCCGUAGCUGGUCUGAGAGGACGAUCAGCCACACUGGGACUGAGACACGGCCCAGACUCCUACGGGAGGCAGCAGUGGGGAAUCUUGCGCAAUGGGCGAAAGCCUGACGCAGCGACGCCGCGUGCGGGAAGAAGGCCUUCGGGUUGUAAACCGCUUUCAGGAGGGACGAAGCCACUCGGGUUAAUAGCCCAGAGGGUGACGGUACCUCCAGAAGAAGCCCCGGCUAACUACGUGCCAGCCGCCGCCGUAACAC
rnacentral:rRNA from 1 species